UACAGAGGGGGCAAGCGUUGUUCGGAAUUACUGGGCGUAAAGGGCGCGUAGGCGGCCUGUUAAGUCGAACGUGAAAUCCCCGGGCUCAACCCGGGAACUGCGUCCGAUACUGGCAGGCUUGAAUCCGGGAGAGGGAUGCGGAAUUCCAGGUGUAGCGGUGAAAUGCGUAGAUAUCAGGAGGAACACCGGUGGCGAAGGCGGGUCUCUGGGCAACAACUGACGCUGAGGAGCGAAAGCGUGGGGAGCGAACAGG
rnacentral:rRNA from 1 species